UNGGUUAGGUAAGGCUGUGAGGGUGGUA
rnacentral:piRNA from 1 species